CACACGGCGAAACGUAAAAUAUAUACGACAGGUUAAAAUAAAUAUGCAAAUGUUAAAAGGUAAGAAUGAUGAAUGAUGAUGAAUAAAUCUCCGUAUUUCCUCGGAUGGCGAGAUUUGGAAUAAAUGUUUAUAUAAUAUUAGAAUGUACAAUUGUUGUUCACUAAAAUAGUUGUAUAUUGAAGUUGAAGGAAUAUUUGUUGAGUUUUGUUGAGAUUUUUUUCAGCAAGCAAAGAUGGCGGAAUGGUUGACGGUCAAUGUGAAAAAUGUUAUUUGAAAAACUUCGUAGUUUAACACUUUUUCGGGAAUAAUUAUUGGAUGAGUUUUGUGUAUAUACAAUGUGUAAAUGUUUUUGCACUAAGGAAUGAGUUGUGGUGUGGUGAUGACGACUAAAAUCUAAAAUUUCUUUCGAAUCUUCCUCUCAGACUUUUCUUGCGACCAUGCUCUUUCAUUCACA
rnacentral:lncRNA from 1 species